CCUACGGGUGGCAGCAGUGGGGAAUAUUGGACAAUGGGCGAAAGCCUGAUCCAGCCAUGCCGCGUGUGUGAAGAAGGCCUUCGGGUUGUAAAGCACUUUCAGUGGGGAAGAAAGCCUUGGGGCUAAUACCCUCGAGGAAGGACAUCACCCACAGAAGAAGCACCGGCUAACUCCGUGCAAGCAGCCGCGGUAAUACGGAGGGUGCGAGCGUUAAUCGGAAUUACUGGGCGUAAAGCGCGCGUAGGCGGUCUGAUAAGCCGGUUGUGAAAGCCCCGGGCUCAACCUGGGAACGGCAUCCGGAACUGUCAGGCUAGAGUGCAGGAGAGGUAGGUAGAAUUCCCGGUGUAGCGGUGAAAUGCGUAGAGAUCGGGAGGAAUACCAGUGGCGAAGGCGGCCUUCUGGACUGACACUGACGCUGAGGUGCGAAAGCGUGGGUAGCAAACAGGAUUAGAUACCCUAGUAGUC
rnacentral:rRNA from 1 species